AAAAAAUCCUGGAAAGUUUCCCAAAUUUCUGGAAUAUUUCCGAAAUUUACUGGAAGUUUUCCACCUUUUGCAACCCUAGUCCGAGAUCUGUUACAAAAAAUAAUU